UGGGGGAUAUUGCACAAUGGAGGGAACUCUGAUGCAGCGACGCCGCGUGAGGGAAGACGGUCCUCUGGAUUGUAAACCUCUGUCGGAAGGGACGAAGACGUGACGGUACCUUCCGAGGAAGCUCCGGCUAACUACGUGCCAGCAGCCGCGGUAAUACGUAGGGAGCGAGCGUUGUCCGGAAUUACUGGGUGUAAAGGGAGCGUAGGCGGGAUCGCAAGUUGGAUGUCUAAUCUAUCGGCUCAACUGGUAGUCGCAUUCAAAACUGUGAUUCUUGAGUGGAGUAGAGGCAGGCGGAAUUCCUAGUGUAGCGGUGAAAUGCGUAGAUAUUAGGAGGAACACCAGUGGCGAAGGCGGCCUGCUGGGCUUUUACUGACGCUGAGGCUCGAAAGUGUGGGGAGCAAACA
rnacentral:rRNA from 1 species